rnacentral:rRNA from 1 species
GAUGAACGCUGGCGGCGUGCCUAAUACAUGCAAGUCGAGCGAACAGAUGAGGAGCUUGCUCCUCUGACGUUAGCGGCGGACGGGUGAGUAACACGUGGAUAACCUACCUAUAAGACUGGGAUAACUUCGGGAAACCGGAGCUAAUACCGGAUAAUAUAUUGAACCGCAUGGUUCAAUAGUGAAAGACGGUUUUGCUGUCACUUAUAGAUGGAUCCGCGCCGCAUUAGCUAGUUGGUAAGGUAACGGCUUAUCAAGGCAACGAUGCGUAGCCGACCUGAGAGGGUGAUCGGCCACACUGGAACUGAGACACGGUCCAGACUCCUACGGGAGGCAGCAGUAGGGAAUCUUCCGCAAUAGGCGAAAGCCUGACGGAGCAACGCCGAGUGAGUGAUGAAGGUCUUCGGAUCGUAAAACUCUGUUAUUAGGGAAGAACAAAUGUGUAAGUAACUAUGCACGGCUUGACGGUACCUAAUCAGAAAGCCACGGCUAACUACGUG